CUGCAGCAGCAUCUAUAUAGAUAAUCUGUAUCUGGAAUGAUACAGAAAUUAUUUAGCAUGGCCCUGCACAAGGAUGACAUGCAAAUUUGUGGAGUGUUCUAUAUUAAA
ensembl:snRNA U6 U6 spliceosomal RNA